rnacentral:tRNA from 1 species
GGAAAUGUGGCUCAGUUGGUAGAGUGCUUGCCUAGAGUACAUGGAGGCUGGGGUUCAAUACCCAGCAUGGUCG